GUGGGUAUGGAAUGUGGGACUUGGAUGAACAAGUUGACCUGGAUUCAUUCAAUACCAAUGUCUUCUUUGAAAUUUUGGUCACCCAGUCCAUGGCAGUGACAUCCAAACUGAGUCAGUUCAAGGAAGAGGUACGUAACGGUUGGGUUAUAUCGAAGAUAUAUAUGUGUUUGAAAGGAUUGCCUGCAUCCAGGAAAAUGUAACGUAUGGAAGACGUGUUGAAGUAGGAAUGACUGUAUAUAGAGUUGUUUAAAUGUAAUUGAGUUAUAGUGUUGCAAUAUGAGCUGGUGAUUGCAUCAUGCACUGUCUGCUGUCCACUAUGUGAGUGUGUAAAGAGUUAACUGUGUAUUGCAUCAGACAGCAGAGGUGAUUAUAAAUAGCUUGCUGUGUUGUCUGUUCUUCCCUCUGCCCUCUGCUCUCUGCCUAUUUGCACUCUGUAUGUAUAUGUCGUCUUGAGAGUUUUCUGUUUGUCAGUAAAUCUUUUGUAGAAAGCCAAACAGGCUUAAGCCUUUUUAUUGGUGCCAGUGAUUCUUUGUUGAUCUUCUGCUGCAUGUGUGUUUAUCCAAACCGCGCGCUCUGACAAGACAUACAUUUUGGGGACUCUAUUGAGGACAAAUAGGAUUGGAGGUCAAUGGACAAGGGUAGUGCUACAUAUCUUUGUAGCCAAGAUCUUGCAAGUGAAGUUUCCUUCUUAAAGCAUUCAGCGUCCUUUACUUAACUGGCACCUUCAACUAUUCCCAUGUUGUUACUGUCAAGGGUUUUGAGGAACUGUGUGCUAAAAGGAAGGCCACUCAACCACAAGAUGUUCAUUCUUUGGUGCUUUUGUUUCCUCUGCAGCUGAAGCUCUUCUACCACAAACUUCUGGAGGAAACCGCCUCUCUCCGAGAUCUGUGGGUUGCCAGGGUGGGCGUCCUGGAUAGCGUCGAAUGUCCUAGUGAUGGCUUGUUGGGACCUUACAACAGGAUGAAACAACAGGCGGAGGAGGAGAUCCUUAGAAGAAGGCACUUGGCCGCCGAGUAUGAAGCAAGUGUAAGCCGUCAGCUCCGUUUUCUGACGGAGGAGCUGAAAUCCCAGGAGACGCAAUGGGUGGCCUUUCAUUCAGCCCUCCGAGAAGCAACAAGGUUGACAGAAGCCCUGGCAGAUGCCUUGUCUUCUGGAGAAGAGUCCAAACCAGACCACCACCGGUUAUUAAACCUCAUAGAUGCUGCCAGCCAUCAAAUGUCCAGCGUCAUCAUCAAAGAAGGCCACCGGCUCAAGCAAUGGGGGAUUCUGGGAGAAGGUACCGGGGCCCACCUGGUGAACAAAGAGAAGACCAGGCUGCUCACCAAGGAGGAACUUGUGGGACCAGAUGGAGCCAUCAAGGCGCAUGAGGUUCUGCGUCAAGUUGCCACCACUGGAUUGAUGGUGCCCAGAGAUGACGUGGUCAUGCUGUUGGCCAACCACUCCACGAAGAGCGUGCCUGCAGACCAUUUCCUCCAUCCUGACACUGGGAAAGUGCUUCCCAUCGCUGGGAACAUUGGCUUCGAUCCCAUCAGCUUUAAGCUCAUACCUAUGGUGGACUUGGCAUCUGGUGAGCUCCGUAACUCCGCGAUGCCCAUCUUCCCCUACGUCCCGUACCCCAUCUGCCCCAGCACCGGCCUCCCGGUCAAAAGCAACAUGCCCGUCCUGCAGCCAGAGAAGGUGUUCCAGCUGGGGGGCUUCAUGCAGGACCCAGCGUCGGGGAUCGAGGUGCCGAUCCUCGCAGUGACCCUUCACCCCCAGACGGGCCAGCGGCUGACCUUGGGCGGGACCUACCUGAACCCUCUGACGGGAACGGUGUCCCCGCUUGAGAUCGGGGCGCCCAUGAGAGACCCCGAAGGAGGCAGGAUCGUUCCCAUCCUCGGAGUCGCUUUGGAUAGCCACACAGGGGAUGUCCUUCCAUUGGGGGGGCUGCAGGGCCCCUCGGAGACCCUCCUGCAGGUCGGGGAUUCCUUCGUGGAGCCUCUGAGCGGGAAGGCGGCCCGGGCGCAAGGCCUGUGCCUCCAGCGAGGAAAGGCGGUCCCCCACGGAGGGGGCUUUGGGGCCGUCUUGGAGGGCAACGUGCUCCUCUCCCAGAUCCGGGCAGCCAAAGCCCUCCAGGAUUAUAAAGAGUCCCUUUGGGGGGAUCGGUGCCCGGCCGGAGAUGGACAACGGGCCCUCAAGGCAGCGGAGGAAGAUGUGGUGAAGGCCCUCUCCUGCAAGAUGCGGCAUGUGGUGCACUGGAUUCAGAAGAUGGAGAAGCAGCAAGAGUGGGCCUCCCACCUGAAGCGCACCGGGGGAAAGCUAGGGAUGGUGAGAUAUCCCAGCACAGACCUGUGGGUCCCGGCCGUUUUUGGGAUGGGGAUCCCGGAUCCGGGGGGUUCCGGCUUGACCGUUCCCAUCCUGGGAGUGGAGUGCGACUGGAGAACCGGGCAGCCGGUUCCUCUAGCCGGGACCAUGGAAGACGCCGACGGAAAAGGUCUCGUUCCUCUUGCCAUUGGCUUCCGAACCAUUGACCCCAUAACAGGGGAGACGGGUCCGGUCAUCGGGGCUCAAAUCAAUCCUUGGACCACGGCGGUCAUCCCCAUCGUCCAGUCCCUAGGACGCUUGCCAAGGGGAAGCCCAGACCCAGAACUGACGGAUGCCUUGGAGACGGAGGUGGCAGCCAAGCAACGGUUCUGGCGCGGCCAAAGAGAAAAGGAAGAGGAGCUCCUCAAAGAGUUGGACUUCUUGCGCCUGGACAUCUUGGAGGCCGCCAAGGAAGGGAAGAUGAACAAGUUAAGAUACAAGGACAAAUUAAAACCCGCCGAAGAGAUCUAUCGCUCCCUGGAAGAGUCCUCAAACCAAGAAGCUCAACGGAGAGCCAGCAGACAACUGAAGGCACCACGGGACUCCAAACCAUCUCUGCAAAUGAGAGUCGAGAAGGACGAGAGAGACCAGGAGGCCAGAGUCCAGGUUUUGCUGAGGAAGACGCUGGAAAAGCUGGUGCAGUUUGUCCGAAAGGUCCAGCUGGACGAAGGACGGAUCCAGAUGCAGCUGAAGGAGGUGGAGCGGCAACGGAGCAGCGGCCUCCAGAUUUUGGAAACGCUUCAAGAGACAUCUAGGAAGACAACUUUGCAUCUCGUGGCUGCAUUUGAGGAGCACAUGGCAAAGCACCAAGCCAAUGUUGAGAGGGCCUGCUGCAGGCUGGAAUACCUCCGAUACUUGUUGGAGACGGUGGCUCUACAGACAAAGGAUCUCCAUUCUGGCUCGUCCCAGUGCUUUGUGAAUUAUCCCAGUUGGAGGUUUUACGGUGCGGCCGGUGCUCCGCAGGGGACCUGGGAGGUCAUCAAUCGGAAACUCAUCCCGUUGCUCAGAUCUGUACUCGAGACGUUGAAAGAGAGCAAAAGGAGCCAUUUGUCCCCCGAGGUGCUGGUGGGCCUGGGCUCUGAAAAAGGCUACUCCUCCAGAAGCACCUUGAAGGUCUCCGAAGUGACCGGCGAAGCAUUUCGGGUCCAAACAAGGCAGGAAGGGGUCCCUAUUGCUGCAGCACUCUCUCCUUCUGUGGCCUCGCCAAAAAGGUCCCAACUCCUGCAAGAAAUCCAGGCAAGGAUCGUCUUAGAGAAACACGGCAGUGAAAUGUUGCACCUUGAGCUGUCCUUAAUGGCCGAGGAGAUCCACAUGAUCACUUGCUUCUGGGAAUCAUCCAGACCAAAGAAGAACCUGGGCACGAACUUAGAAGGAUCCAAGGAGUGGGACAGGCUCUUGAAAGAGCUGGCCAAAUAUCAUCGCCACUCGGAAGAAGAGCUGUGCCGGCAACACUCGGAGGACGUCAAACAUGCCGGAUUCGGCCCGAAAGGGAUCGCCCUCCAAGAUGGAGCUUUGUUCUCUCAGGAGGAGAUCCUGCAAAACCUUGUGUCGCUCCGUUUGGAUCUACAAAAGGCCGACUCCUCCCUGACGAUGGAAGCUUCAAAAGAAAAUAAUAAUGAAACCCAGAUUUCAGAAGCCAAGCUCAGUCCAGCGGGAUCAACUUCCCAGAAGGAUCAAGCCAUGGCAAGGAAGGUGGUGAAACAAGAAGCCCUGAAGCAAAUAUACAUACACAGGGUUUUGGACCAUUACAGCAACCUCCAGAGAAAGGCUUGUCCAGAAGAGGUUUUGCAAGCCCUGGAGCCCUUCUGUACAGGGGAAAAGGUGGCCCGGGAUGUGGUUCAGUCUGUUGAAAAGCAGCAAGUGGAGAGAGCUGUGGCUUUCCUCCAGAAGCAGAGCCAAGAGGAGGAAGACUUGUCCGCUUCUUGCAGCGAAAAGGAUGAAGCAAAGCUCAGAAAGCUUCAGGCGCUGAUCCGGAUGGAGUUGCAAACCCAGAUAGAGGAGAAGUUGGAAGCCAAAGAAACAGAAGUCAUCUUGGAAGCCACGAAACACAACACAAGUCUCUCUGCCCAUUGCACGGUGUGUUUCCUUCUGAGCCGCCGGCACUUGAGGCAAGCCGUUCUGGUGUUGGAAGCCAACCUUGAGCUCCAGGAAACCGGACUAAAGACUCAAGGCGAUGGGAGCUCCGUGGAAGACUUGGCCCUGGAUGACCCAUUGGUGGAUCAAAAUACAAAAGCAGUUGUCCACCUGUUGAAGGAGAAGAAGGACUAUGUCUACUCUGUGCUUCAGUUGCUGCAAGCGUCCCAGAUGCUCCAGUUGAGAGAGAGGCAGUUUCAGGAGAUGGUCCAGAAACUGAAAGCUCAUUCUUCAGACCAGCAUCUGGAAGAGGCAGACCAAAUGGUCAGAGAACUUCAAGAGUUCAGGCAACGCAAAACGAAGGAGCUGGAGGAGAAUCUGAGAACUUCCCUAAAGAGCCCCAGAACACAAGAAGGUCGUUCAAAGAAUCCCAAUGAUCUCCAGAGUGAAAGGCCCCUGUUAGAAAAAGAUCAUAAGCGAGAAGGAAAGGAGAGAUGGCAGAGUUUCCAACAAACCUGGUUGGUCGAGCUGGAGGAAACGUACAGGGGCCAGAUAUCAGAGGAGAAAGCAAGACUCCAAGAUCAGUUGGAAAAAGGAGAACUCAAGAAAUGGUCAAAACAGAUGUCAAGAUCCUGA
rnacentral:lncRNA from 11 species